UGGGGAUUAGCCAAGCGGUAAGGCAACGGACUUUGACUCUGUCAUGCCUAGGUUCGAAUCCUAGAUCCCCAG
rfam:Paenibacillus mucilaginosus 3016, complete genome.